rfam:Pteropus alecto contig15461, whole genome shotgun sequence.
GUCUACGGCCAUGCCACCCUGAACGAGCCUGAUCUCGUCUGAUCUCGUCUGAUCUCGGAAGCUAAGCAGGGUUGGGCUUGGUUAGUACUUGUAUGGGAGACCACCUAGGAAGACCAGGUGCUGUAGGCG